rnacentral:rRNA from 1 species
UCAGUUCAGAUUGUAGGCUGAAACUCGCCUAUAUGAAGUCGGAAUUGCUAGUAAUCGCAGAUCAGCAUGCUGCGGUGAAUACGUUCCCGGGCCUUGUACACACCGCCCGUCACACCAUGAGAGUCGAUAACACCCGAAGCCUGUAGUCUAACCAUAAGGAGGACGCAGUCGAAGGUGGGAUUGAUAAUUAGGGUGAAGUCGUAACAAGGUAAC